CCUCCUUUCAUCUCCUUCCAUUUCCUUCCUCCUUCAACCUCCUUCCUUCCUCCCUCCAUCUCCUCCCAUCUCUCCCUCCUCCCAGCCCCAUUCUGAUCUGUUUCCAUCCCCGGGGUGGGAUGUGGGAUGUGGGCUGUGUGUGUGCCAGGCUCCUGGCACCUUCCCUGGGCUGGCACACCCAGCUGCUCUGGGGACACAGGGAGAGCAGGGCCAGGGAAAUCAUUUGGGAUUUCAGUGCAAAACCUGCCUGGGGGAAGAGGGGGCAGAGCUGCAGUGAGGGAACCACCCCAAGGGUUGGUGAUGGAGAGAGAGACCAGAACUCACUGAAAUGGUCAAAGAAUCCCAAUUUAUUGUGGGAUACAAAUGCUUAUGCAGCAUUCUAGGAAGGCCAGUAAUGAUUGGGUUAAAAAUCACAUAAACAAACUUAUGCAUUUUACAACAUCUCUUGCUUGCAGAGUUUGAUGCAAUUUUCUUUUUCAGGUAAAUCUGUGUGAUUGAAUCUUCUUGCAAUCCUGAUUUAAUCCUCCAAGUUCUGCUUGCUCUUGCCAAGGCACUUUGUUUAUCAAAUCUCUUAUGAUCUCCAAGCACUCUCUGCUUUGUGUACCCCAAUACCCAAGCUCCUCCUGCAAGGCCAGGAAAGGGUUACAGCUCAUGUGCUAAUUAGCUGCAGUGCUAAUUAGGGGCACCCUGCUCCUCAUUAGGAGAUCCAGCUGGAGCUGCCGUGGAAGGGGAGUUUGGGAUGGUCCCGACGCCCUCUGGGAAUUGUCCCUGCUGCUGGCCUGGGAUGCAGGCUGAGCCCUUUCCAGAUGGAGAAUCCUCAGGGAUUCUGCAGCCCCUGCCCAGCCUCCUCAGCUGAUCCAGCAGGAAUCCAUGGAAUCCAGCCUGUCCUGCAGGGUCCUGGGGCAGGUGCCCAUCCCUGCCCACCUGCUCCAAGGAGCAUCAGCCCCAUGCAGAUUGACCUCCCUCCUGUUGGAGUUUUCCUCUCUCUGAAGACAGAACCCAGGCGCUUCUUUGGAUUUUGGAAGUUGGGAAUGACUUCAGCUCCCGGCAGUGUUUCCAGUGGAAGGGUUUGAUAAUAUUCCCAUUUCACCAUCUCCUGACUCCAGAGCUCUCCUGGAAGAGCAGCGAGUCCACAUCGUGUUGUUCGCACGUGGGGAAUUGGGUGUUGGAUUUUCAGUGUGGAUGAGGGAGACCUGAGCAGCUCCUGUGCUCCAUCGCCAUGGAAACAGAGAUCCACACACGGCCAUGGAUACCGAGCAGAUCUCAGCGGUGCUUUGGAA